rnacentral:sRNA from 1 species
CUUCUUGUGCUUGCUGCGGACAGAUGAAAUGGAUGUGAGUAUCGAGUCCUCCAGCUGUGAUGAUUAAGCCCUCGCCGGCAAUGACUUCGGUGCCAUUCCCCGUGAUCAUGGUAGGGUCAAUUCCAUCCUGGAUAUCCGGGUUGCCUGCUUUGCCAAUUCCAACAAUAUAACCGUUCUUGAUACCGAUAUCCGCCUUGACAAUGCCGGUCCAGUCGACGAUCAAGGCAUUGGUGAUGACUGUAUCAAGGACUUCAGUGUCGCUGCGUCCGGAAGCUUGAGCCAUGCCUUCUCGAAG